rnacentral:rRNA from 1 species
GGGGAAUUUUGGACAAUGGGCGCAAGCCUGAUCCAGCCAUGCCGCGUGCAGGAUGAAGGCCCUCGGGUUGUAAACUGCUUUUGUACGGAACGAAAAGCCUCUUUCUAAUAAAGAGGGGUGAUGACGGUACCGUAAGAAUAAGCACCGGCUAACUACGUGCCAGCAGCCGCGGUAAUACGUAGGGUGCGAGCGUUAAUCGGAAUUACUGGGCGUAAAGCGUGCGCAGGCGGUCUUGCAAGACAGUGGUGAAAUCCCCGGGCUCAACCUGGGAACUGCCACUGUGACUGCAAUGCUGGAGUACGGCAGACGAGGAUGGAAUUCCGCGUGUAGCAGUGAAAUGCGUAGAUAUGCGGAGGAACACCGAUGGCGAAGGCAAUCCCCUGGGCCUGCACUGACGCUCAUGCACGAAAGCGUGG